GACGAACGCUGGCGGCGUGCUUAACACAUGCAAGUCGAACGGAAAGGCCCUGCUUUUGUGGGGUGCUCGAGUGGCGAACGGGUGCGUAACACGUGAGUAACCUGCCCUUGACUUUGGGAUAACUUCAGGAAACUGGGCCUAAUACCGGAUAGCAGCUCCUGCUGCAUGGUGGGGGUUGGACCGUUUCGGCGGUCGGGGAUGGACUCGCGGCUUAUCAGCUUGUUGGUGGGGUAGUGGCUCACCAAGGCAUUGACGGGUAGCCGGCCUGUCAGGGUGAACGGCCACAUUAGGAUUGUACUAAUGACCAAACUCCAGAAAGAGGCAGCAGGGUGAAAUAUGGGACUAAGGGAGGAAGCCAGCAGCAGCAAAGCCGGGUGUGGGAUGAUGGACUUCGGGUUGUAAACCGCUUGCGCAUGUGACGAAGCGUGAGUGACGGUAAUGGGUAAAGAAUCACCGGCUAACAUCGUA
rnacentral:rRNA from 1 species